rnacentral:piRNA from 1 species
UAACAUAAUUGGCUGGUGCUCAGGGAUC